UAAGAUAUCAUGAUGAAAUGCCUUGCAUGCUUAUAGAAAAAAUUUUCUAUGAGUAUGCGGCGAUUGCCAUGACCCUCAAUUCAUAAUCUCGGAUCGGGGACGUGACAUUAUCCUUCAAUCUAAACACUCAAAACUUCAUGUGAUAAUUGGUAUGUUAUAAGUUUUUGAUAAUAUUUGAUUAUUCACAUUGAGCAUUUUCUAAAUAAUUAUAUUUUUUAAAAGUAAAAAAAUAGCCAA
rnacentral:lncRNA from 1 species